CAAAUAAUUAAGAUUAAGAUUUGACUGUUGUUGCAUAUAUCAGAAUUCAGAAGCUUUUACGGUAGAUGAUGCCAAGGAUUCAAUCCUUAAGGCUUAAUCUGUUAUUACAUGAGACGGGCACUAAAAUAAUAUCCACAUAUAUGAGAACUCAAUAACGAAAAUGACCUCUCAAUUUAUUUCAGACAGGAAUACUCUAAAUCAUACGUUCAUGCUGGAGAUCCACACGCAAACUUGAAGAUGCCAGCCUACAUUAUUCAUGAAUUAUGAUAUAAUAAUAUGCAGACACGUGCAUUUGGAUAAACCAUAUAUUUUCACUGUAAAUGAUGUUUACUUGAUGCUAACCCAAAUGAACUCAUUCCACUUUUAAACAUAUGAAAAUCACCACCAUAUAUUCACAUUCAAACUAAUAUCUUCUCAAGUCAAGUGGCCUCAUAUAGAUUUUUUUUUUAAGAAAAAAUAGUCUUCAUCUCCACCUGCAAGUAUACAAAUUGAGUUAAACCUCAUUUAAUAUAUAAAUCUAAAUGCACAUAAUAUUAAUUGUGGUGUGGACGUGUAUUCUCAUCUGCAGAAAGUCAAAACCGUGUUCUUUCAGUGUUUUGCUGGUGAAAAUGAAACUAAUGGAGCUCAAAGCACAUAUUCUGUGGGGAAAGAUACAGCAGAUAAAUGUUUACCAUCCUACAUAUUAUUCUCUAUCAAGUUUCAGUCUUUUUUUCCCCAAGCUUUCUAUCGUGUUCUCUUCUGUUCCAAGUAAAGAAUCCCAAUCAGCCCUUACACAUGCCUUUUUAUUUUUGUAAUCUUUUGAGCUGGAAAACCCAGUUUCGGAUGCUUUUAUCUACUCUUUCUAACAUGCUUUUGAAGAUCAAAUUAAAGGGUAAAUAUGGCAAUAUCUUUUAUCCUACAGCCUAUGGGAGGUUUCCUUUAAAAGCUCUGGAUGCCUUUGCCAUAGCCAAUUUCAAUCACCAAAAUGUCAACUUCAUAAUACCUGAAAGUCUGAACAGGGUUGUAUUGGCUCUCUGAAUGAGAAAACUUUGGAAUAUUUAAUUACCGACCCAACAAAGAAAGCAACUUCAGGAAUCAAUUUGUGCCAAGCAAAAGCGAAAGCUUACUCAUCAAGUUUAUUUAUCUAUUCAUUCUGAGAGAUGAACGAAUGCAUAUAAACAACUGCAAGUAUAUCCUAGUUUAGGCAUCCUUGCCUACGUGAAUACGACAGUUGCAGCAAGAGAGAGACACGACUAGGCUCAAGAUUCCUCUGCUUUUCCUCAAGAAUGCCUAACUCAGAGAAGCAAGAAACCAAUCCCCCUGCAGGGUACCCAACUGAGACUCCCACCACUGGGAAGAAGCGCUUCCAUCAUUCAAAGAAGAAAGGAGACAGAGGCUUUAUUGAAGGAUGCCUCUUCGCUCUGUGCUGCUGUUGGCUGUGUGAAGCUUGCUUCUGAAUUUUGAUCAGUGGUUCAAAUAAGCAUAGCUUCUGCUAUGGAUUUGUAUUGAUUGAUCUGCUUUUCUAUAAUUGAUCAGAUUAUUGUAAUAAAUGUAAUUGAUAGGACAUGUGUAGCAAACAAUCUAUCUAUUAAUAUAUUUGUACCUUUUUAUUUCCUCA